AAUGUGUUUCCUUCGGGGAUCAAUCUGAUCCAUCAAUCCCAGGUUGACUUUCUGCAGCAUACUUUUGAACUUUUUAUUCUCCUUUAAUUUUAUCAAUUUAGGGCGCUCAUCCAUUUCAAUUCUCCUCGUUUCCUCAAUUUUAUUUGCCAAUUCUUCUUCCAACUCUAGUUGCUCUAGGUCCAAAUGAGUCUGUAUAUUGUUUUCUGGGCAAAUUGGUGUAUGGCUUGUUUUUUGGUGAGACAAUGCCUGGUUUCUUUUUUGUGGGGGUGGUGUUUGAUUCCCAUCUUGUUGUGUUGGUGCUUGAUUCCGACUUCUCCUUUGGUGUGUGAGGCUGGCUUGAUCUGAUGUUCUUUUUGGUGGUGCAAUGGGUUGUGUAAGGGGGCAAAUGCCUUCCUUGACCAUUUGCUCAGCCUCUUGCUGCAUCUCAUGUAAUUCAAUAUCCGUGAAAUGUUUUUGUACAAUAAAGUUGUGUUUCUGGGUGGUAAGUCGGCCCCUUGGUAUAUCUUUUUUACUUGGGCAAUGAUGGUAAAAUAUUCUUUGCCACUCUUUACUUCGUUCUCUCUGGUUGGUGUAUUUUAUUUUCGCAUAUUCAAUUGCCCACAACAAUACCCACUCUUCCUCCCUCUUCCACUGACUCCCCUCAAACUCAAGCCGUUUA